CUCUCUAGUGACCGAUAGUGAACCAGUACCGUGAGGGAAAGGUGAAAAGUACCCCGGAAGGGGAGUGAAAGAGAACUUGAAACCGUGUGCUUACAAGUAGUCAGAGCCCGUUAAUGGGUGAUGGCGUGCCUUUUGUAGAAUGAACCGGCGAGUUACGAUCUGAUGCAAGGUUAAGCAGAAAAUGUGGAGCCGUAGCGAAAGCGAGUCUGAAUAGGGCGAAUGAGUAUUUGGUCGUAGACCCGAAACCAGGUGAUCUACCCUUGGUCAGGUUGAAGUUCAGGUAACACUGAAUGGAGGACCGAACCGACUUACGUUGAAAAGUGAGCGGAUGAACUGAGGGUAGCGGAGAAAUUCCAAUCGAACUUGGAGAUAGCUGGUUCUCUCCGAAAUAGCUUUAGGGCUAGCCUCAAGUGAUGAUUAUUGGAGGUAGAGCACUGUUUGGACGAGGGGCCCCUCUCGGGUUACCGAAUUCAGACAAACUCCGAAUGCCAAAUAAUUUAACUUGGGAGUCAGAAUGUGGGUGAUAAGGUCCAUAUUCGAAAGGGAAACAGCCCAGACCACCAGCUAAGGUCCCAAAAUAUAUGUUAAGUGGAAAAGGAUGUGGCGUUGCCCAGACAACUAGGAUGUUGGCUUAGAAGCAGCCAUCAUUUAAAGAGUGCGUAAUAGCUCACUAGUCGAGUGACACUGCGCCGAAAAUGUACCGGGGCUAAACAUAUUACCGAAGCUGUGGAUUGUCCUUUGGACAAUGGUAGGAGAGCGUUCUAAGGGCGUUGAAGCAUGAUCGCAAGGACAUGUGGAGCGCUUAGAAGUGAGAAUGCCGGUGUGAGUA
rnacentral:rRNA from 1 species